rnacentral:rRNA from 1 species
CGAACGCUGGCGGCAGGCCUAACACAUGCAAGUCGAACGCUGUAGCAAUACAGAGUGGCAGACGGGUGAGUAACGCGUGGGAACAUGCCCUUCGGUUCGGAAUAACUCAGGGAAACUUGAGCUAAUACCGGAUACGCCCUUAGGGGGAAAGAUUUAUUGCCGAAGGAUUGGCCCGCGUCCGAUUAGCUAGUUGGUGUGGUAAUGGCGCACCAAGGCGACGAUCGGUAGCUGGUCUGAGAGGAUGAUCAGCCACACUGGGACUGAGACACGGCCCAGACUCCUACGGGAGGCAGCAGUGGGGAAUAUUGGACAAUGGGCGCAAGCCUGAUCCAGCCAUGCCGCGUGAGUGAUGAAGGCCCUAGGGUUGUAAAGCUCUUUCGCCAGGGACGAUAAUGACGGUACCUGGAUAAGAAGCCCCGGCUAACUUCGUGCCAGCAGCCGCGGUAAUACGAAGGGGGCUAGCGUUGUUCGGAGUCACUGGGCGUAAAGCGCACGUAGGCGGAUCUUUAAGUCAGGGGUGAAAUCCCGAGGCUCAACCUCGGAACCGCCUUUGAUACUGGAGGUCUCGAGUCCGGGAGAGGUGAGUGGAACUGCGAGUGUAGAGGUGAAAUUCGUAGAUAUUCGCAAGAACACCAGUGGCGAAGCG